rnacentral:rRNA from 1 species
ACGAACGCUGGCGGCGUGCUUAACACAUGCCCGUCGAACGGAAAGGCCCUGCUUUUGUGGGGUGCUCGAGUGGCGAACGGGUGAGUAACACGUGAGUAACCUGCCCUUGACUUUGGGAUAACUUCAGGAAACUGGGGCUAAUACCGGAUAGGAGCUCCUGCUGCAUGGUGGGGGUUGGAAAGUUUCGGCGGUUGGGGAUGGACUCGCGGCUUAUCAGCUUGUUGGUGGGGUAGUGACUUACCAAGGCUUUGACGGGUAGCCGGCCUGAGAGGGUGACCGGCCACAUUGGGACUGAGAUACGGCCCAGACUCCUACGGGAGGCAGCAGUGGGGAAUAUUGCACAAUGGGCGGAAGCCUGAUGCAGCAACGCCGCGUGCGGGAUGACGGCCUUCGGGUUGUAAACCGCUUUCGCCUGUGACGAAGCGUGAGUGACGGUAAUGGGUAAAGAAGCACCGGCUAACUACGUG